AGAGUUUGAUCCUGGCUCAGGAUGAACGCUAGCGGCAGGCUUAACACAUGCAAGUCGAGGGGUAUAGGUUUUCGGACCUAGAGACCGGCGCACGGGUGCGUAACGCGUAUGCAAUCUACCUUUUACAGAGGGAUAGCCCAGAGAAAUUUGGAUUAAUACCUCAUAGUAUUAUUGAAUGGCAUCAUUUAAUAAUUAAAGUCACAACGGUAAAAGAUGAGCAUGCGUCCCAUUAGCUUGUUGGUAAGGUAACGGCUUACCAAGGCAACGAUGGGUAGGGGUCCUGAGAGGGAGAUCCCCCACACUGGUACUGACACACGGACCAGACUCCUACGGGAGGCAGCAGUGAGGAAUAUUGGUCAAUGGGCGCAAGCCUGAACCAGCCAUGCCGCGUGCAGGAUGAAGCAUCUAUGGUGUGUAAACUGCUUUUGUACGAGAAGAAACACUCCUUCGUGAAGGAGCUUGACGGUAUCGUAAGAAUAAGGACCGGCUAACUCCGUGCCAGCAGCCGCGGUAAUACGGAGGAUCCAAGCGUUAUCCGGAAUCAUUGGGUUUAAAGGGUCCGUAGGCGGUCUUAUAAGUCAGUGGUGAAAUCUCCCCGCUCAACGGGGAAACGGCCAUUGAUACUGUAGGACUUGAAUUAUUAGGAAGUAACUAGAAUAUGUAGUGUAGCGGUGAAAUGCUUAGAGAUUACAUGGAAUACCAAUUGCGAAGGCAGGUUACUACUAAUGGAUUGACGCUGAUGGACGAAAGCGUGGGUAGCGAACAGGAUUAGAUACCCUGGUAGUCCACGCCGUAAACGAUGGAUACUAGCUGUUGGAAGCAAUUUCAGUGGCUAAGCGAAAGUGAUAAGUAUCCCACCUGGGGAGUACGUUCGCAAGAAUGAAAC
rnacentral:rRNA from 1 species